rnacentral:piRNA from 1 species
UGAAACUGACUCAGGCAGCCUCAGAGG